UGAUCGACGGUCGUGAUUAAAUGCAAUGAACAGUCUAUAUUUGUUCUCUCUUUAAACGCGAUCGAAUGAUCGAGAUCGAAUCGUGAUGAACAGUCCAGAUUUAUUUUCUCUUUAAACGCAAUCGAAGGGUCGAGAUCAAGCAAUAUGAACGACCCAGAUUAACGCAAGACUGAUAUAAAUAUUUCGUAUCACACUGAACCCAAACCCUGGCCGCCAAAUUCCCGUCAGAGAAGAAGAACCAAUCACCGGAUAAGGGAGCCGACUGUCGCCUGCCGCCACGCGGAGCCACCUCCGACCACCAAAAAAGGUAAAAAUUCUACUAUCCGCUUGGAAUUUAAUUCU
rnacentral:lncRNA from 1 species